ACACAACAAAGCAGCCAGUGGUUCACUCACACACGCCACCGCGCAAGUGUGUCCGUGCAGCUGGAAUUUCAACCUGGAGCUGAGACCUCCAGAUGGACUCCUAGAAGGGUGACGUGUAAAGCUGCAUCCCUCAGCAGCCCACGAUCUUGGCAGGUUUGCCACUGUGACCAAUGUUUUAUUGAAGCUUCUGAGGCCGUAGAGCACAGGGAAGUUCCGAGCACACAGAGGACAAGCCAGGGCGGUGCUGUGUGGCCCAAAACAACCUUAAGUAGGAGACAUGAGUGGGGGACGGUUUCUGACACCUUGAUUCCUCAUGUCUGUGUUUCUGCAGUGUGGAGCAUUGUGAGUCUGUGUGGCAGCAACCACGAAGAAAGUGAUACAGACUUGGUGGCGGAGAGCACCGACUGCCGCCAGGAUGAGGAGGCUGCAGGUAGGGAAGAGCACACAGCUGGGAUCCAGGGGGAGAGGGUUCCUGGGAGCAGCUGGGUUCCACCUGCUGCCGGGAGAGGGAGGAAGGGGGGGAUAGGACUUGGCAGGUGGUGGGUGGGUGGCCUAAUGAGUGGAACCCUGAUGUGGUGUUUUCCCCUCCGAAAUUGAUAACACGAAGAAGACUUGUGUCCCUGGUCUUUGUCGUGCUGUGUUUGGAUUCCUGUCUCCUUCCUUUGAGAGGGAGAAUCGAUUUUCCCUCCCAAAGCUGCUCCUUCCAGCUCUUGUCUCUGGCCAUUGUGCCAGCUUGCUUUGUGGGUCGCACCCUGAGGGUCCUGUGCCCAAGAGCUGUUGACUUAGUUUCCUUUGUUGCCCUUGAGGGACCUGAUGUGGUGGGACGCAACCCUCUCCUAGGGCCUUGACCCUGGAGACCAAGUUCGUCUGGUGAGUGUGAGGUGGUGGGUGAGAAGGCGCUGUCUCCCUCUGGAUGUUCAGGAU
rnacentral:lncRNA from 1 species